rnacentral:lncRNA from 1 species
GUCCGGGAUUACUCGAUCUGACGUCUGACAGAUUUAUUUUUAUGGAUGGCUUUUAAUAUUUCUGGAUGCAUUUAAAGAACGAUCACCAUGAUGGGGGCCCCUGCUUAGGGCCCAUCAGUCCAAUUUAGAAUUUAUUUUUGUGUUUAAAAGCUUAACAGUUCUGAAACAUCUUACACCGUAUGCUAAGCAAUUUAUGUUUCUGUUUCUUGUUAAAUUGCAUGAAAUAUUUGCCAUUGGACUUUCAGUAAACAAUAAAUCAAAAUAUUUGAUAUUUUUUUCGGAUCAAAGUCCCCCGGCCAACUUUUGGAUUAAAUUUUUGUUGGAAAUUCUUUCAUUAAACACUUCAUUAAAAUAUUUGUCAAAGUUAGCAGUAAAACCUCAGCGGAUAAUAAUUACUGAUAAAAACUUUUACGUUUACUUUACAUGAGAAUUUUAUGAUUUUCAAGCCUAACAUGUAUAUAACAGUUACGCGUAUCUAGACAACGGCUCUCUCAUGAAUAAAAAUCUUACUAUUUU